CCUACGGGUGGCUGCAGCAAGGAAUUUUCGGCAAUGGGCGCAAGCCUGACCGAGCAACGCCGCGUGCCGGAUGACGGCCUUCGGGUUGUAAACGGCUUUUGUGGAGGACGAGAUGGACGGUACUCCACGAAUCAGCCCCGGCUAACUCUGUGCCAGCAGCCGCGGUAAUACAGAGGGGGCAAGCGUUGUCCGGAUUGACUGGGCGUAAAGGGUUCGUAGGCGGCAACUCAGGUGGGGUGUGACAGCUCCCGGCUUAACCGGGAAAGGCCGCUCCA
rnacentral:rRNA from 1 species